rnacentral:sRNA from 1 species
CUAGAAGGCUAUUACAUUUAUG